UCGGUUCUGAAAAACCAUGAAGUCCACUGGUGUCCUCCUACUCACUCUCCUGGCCCUCUGGGCCCUGGUGACUGAUGCCUUCGGGAGAGAGCUUCCAGGGAUGAGGCUGCCCAACUCUCUUGGAAGAUGAUAUAAAGGAGGUGGGCAGAGCUGGAGAAUCACUCGCUCACUCCUGCCUCACCAUGAAGUCCUCAGUUGUCCUCCUUUUUGCGUUCCUGACCCUCUGUGCCUUGAUGCCUGAUGCCUCUGGGAAAGUAAUUCCCAGGUAUUGCCCAGAUUAUAUUGACGAGAGUGAUCUGGAGGAGCUAACUUCUUGCAUUUCGGAUCACGACUGUGGCAGGCACAAGAGGUGCUGCCCUUUGGGAGACAUAGACAUUUGCAUGACU